GAUUGCCUCAGUAACGGCGAGUGAAGCGGCAAAAGCUCAAAUUUUAAAGCUGGCACCUUCGGUGUCCGCGUUGUAAUUUUGUGAGGCAUCUCCGGGUAGGGCGCCGGCCUAAGUUCCUUGGAACAGGACGUCAUAGAGGGUGAGAAUCCCGUGCUUGGCUGGCUGUCCCCGUCCAUGUGAGGUGUCUUCGACGAGUCGAGUUGUUUGGGAAUGCAGCUCAAAAUGGGUGGUAAAUUUCAUCUAAAGCUAAAUAUUGGUGGGAGACCGAUAGCGCACAAGUAGAGUGAUCGAAAGAUGAAAAGCACUUUGAAAAUAGAGUUAAAAAGUACGUGAAAUUGUUGAAAGGGAAGCGCUUGAGACCAGAAUUCGGUGGGGGGUGAUCAGCUGUCCUUCUGGGCGGUGCACUUGCUCCCCUCCGGGCCAGCAUCGGUUGGGGCGGCGGGAUAAAGAUCACGGGAAUGUGGCUCCUUUCGGGGAGUGUUAUAGCCCGGGUGAAUGCCGCCAGUUCCGACCGAGGACCGCGCCUUCGGGCUAGGAUG
rnacentral:rRNA from 1 species